CCUACGGGAGGCAGCAGUGGGGAAUCUUGCGCAAUGGGCGGAAGCCUGACGCAGCAACGCCGCGUGAGCGAAGACGGCCUUCGGGUUGUAAAGCUCUGUCAGGAGGGACGAGGCCACUCGGGUGAAUAGCCUAGAGGGUGACGGUACCUCCAGAGGAAGCCCCGGCUAACUACGUGCCAGCAGCCGCGGUAAUACGGAGGGUGCAAGCGUUGUUCGGAAUUACUGGGCGUAAAGCGCGUGUAGGCGGUCGGGCAAGUCAGAUGUGAAAGCCUUCCGCUUAACGGAAGAAGUGCAUUUGAAACUACCCGGCUGGAGUACGGGAGAGGAGAGUGGAAUUCCCGGUGUAGAGGUGAAAUUCGUAGAUAUCGGGAGGAACACCAGUGGCGAAGGCGGCUCUCUGGUCCGAUACUGACGCUGAGACGCGAAAGCGUGGGGAGCAAACAGGAUUAGAUACCCUGGUAGUCCACGCCGUAAACGAUGGGCACUAGGUGUAGGAGGUAUUGACCCCUUCUGUGCCGAAGUUAACGCAUUAAGUGCCCCGCCUGGGGAGUACGGCCGCAAGGCUAAAACUCAAAGGAAUUGACGG
rnacentral:rRNA from 1 species